AGAGAGAGACAUGCGUGCAUAUCAAUAAGCGGAGGAAAAGAAACUAACUAGGAUUCCCCUAGUAACGGCGAGUGAAGCGGGAAGAGCUCAAAUUUGAAAUCUUAAAGGGUUUCCCUUGACGAAUUGUAGUUUAAAGAAGUGUUUUUCUGUUGGAGGUUUUGGUAAAAGUUCUUUGGAAUAGGACAUCAUAGAGGGUGAGAAUCCCGUAUUUGACCAUUUACUUUCAAGCUUUGUGAUACACUUUCAAAGAGUCGGAUUGUUUGGGAAUGCAGUCCAAAAUGGGUGGUAAAUUUCAUCUAAAGCUAAAUAUUGGCGAGAGACCGAUAGCGAACAAGUACCGUGAGGGAAAGAUGAAAAGAACUUUGAAAAGAGAGUUAAACAGUACGUGAAAUUGUCAAAAGGGAAGCGUUUGACACCAGUGUUGUUUUUCUGAAAAUCAAUUAAAGAACUGUUUAUGCUAAGUUGUUUAGACUUUAUCAGCUAACUGUUUAGUUUUGAGCUCUUCUUUAAUGCACUUUUCCAGUUAACAAGUCAACAUCAAUUUCUUUUGCUGUAAAAAAGCUUGAGGAAGGUGGCUUGAGAUUCGUCUUAAGUGUUUAUAGCCUCUUGCCUAUGCAGUCGGAGAGAUUGAGGUCUGCAGCGUAGAUCCUUCGGGGCUAAAUGCAUUUGUGCUAAGUUAUAGCAUUUUAUAGACAACUUGUUGACUAUGAUCAGUCAUGUAGCUUACUCGCUUAUGCUAUUUUACCUACGCUUAGGAUGUUGAUGUGAUACUGCGAGCA
rnacentral:rRNA from 1 species